CCUACGGGAGGCAGCAGUGAGGAAUAUUGGUCAAUGGGCUUACGCCUGAACCAGCCAAGUCGCGUGAGGGAAGACUGCCCUAUGGGUUGUAAACCUCUUUUGUCAGGGAGCAAUUGGCGCUACGUGUAGCGUUAUCGAGAGUACCUGAAGAAAAAGCAUCGGCUAACUCCGUGCCAGCAGCCGCGGUAAUACGGAGGAUGCGAGCGUUAUCCGGAUUGAUUGGGUUUAAAGGGUGCGUAGGCGGAAUGCCAAGUCAGCGGUAAAAUCGCGGGGCUCAACCUCGCUCCGCCGUUGAAACUGGCGUUCUUGAGUGGGCGAGAAGGAUGCGGAAUGCGUGGUGUAGCGGUGAAAUGCAUAGAUAUCACGCAGAACGCCGAUUGCGAAGGCAGCAUACCGGCGCCCAACUGACGCUGAAGGACGAAAGCGUGGGUAUCGAACAGGAUUAGAUACCCUAGUAGUC
rnacentral:rRNA from 1 species